CGCCUGGGGAGUGCGGCCGCAAGGUUAAAACUCAAAUGAAUUGACGGGGGCCCGCACAAGCGGUGGAGCAUGUGGUUUAAUUCGACGCAACGCGAAGAACCUUACCUGGCCUUGACAUGCAGAGAACUUUCCAGAGAUGGAUUGGUGCCUUCGGGAACUCUGACACAGGUGCUGCAUGGCCGUCGUCAGCUCGUGUCGUGAGAUGUUGGGUUAAGUCCCGUAACGAGCGCAACCCCUAUCCCUAGUUGCUAGCAGUUCGGCUGAGAACUCUAGGGAGACUGCCGGUGACAAACCGGAGGAAGGUGGGGAUGACGUCAGGUCAUCAUGGCCCUUACGGCCAGGGCUACACACGUGCUACAAUGGUGCGCACAGAGGGCUGCAAACCCGCGAGGGGGAGCCAAUCUCACAAAACGCAUCGUAGUCCGGAUCGCAGUCUGCAACUCGACUGCGUGAAGUCGGAAUCGCUAGUAAUCGUGAAUCAGAAUGUCACGGUGAAUACGUUCCCGGGCCUUGUACACACCGCCCGUCACACCAUGGGAGUGGAUUGCACCAGAAGUGGUUAGUCUAACCUUCGGGAGGACGAUCACCACGGUGUGGUUCAUGACUGGGGUGAAGUCGUAACAAGGUAACCGUA
rnacentral:rRNA from 1 species